CUGACUAAAAAAAAAAAAAAAAAUCAGAGACCUUCCAUUUUUCCCUAGAAAUAACAUGCAGAAUUUUACCAAACCCUAACUCGAAAACACAAGCUUUCCCCUCAAAUCUCGGAGAUAAAAUCUAGUAAACGCAAAAUCAAAACCCUAAUGACUGCAAAAGUGAAAAUUUAAUUAAAUAAAUAAAAUAAAAAUUCCUCAAAAUAUUUUUACAUAAU
rnacentral:misc_RNA from 1 species